AGAAAAGUGGCAAACUCGGUGUCC
rnacentral:siRNA from 1 species